rnacentral:rRNA from 1 species
GGUUUAAUUCGAUGCAACGCGAAGAACCUUACCAGGACUUGACAUGUCGCGAAUCCAGUGGAAACACAGGAGUGCCUUCGGGAGCGCGAACACAGGUGGUGCAUGGUUGUCGUCAGCUCGUGUCGUGAGAUGUUGGGUUAAGUCCCGCAACGAGCGCAACCCUUAUUGUUAGUUGCUACGCAAGAGCACUCUAGCGAGACUGCCGUUGACAAAACGGAGGAAGGUGGGGACGACGUCAAAUCAUCAUGCCCCUUAUGUCCUGGGCCAC